UGGGGAAUAUUGGACAAUGGGCGCAAGCCUGAUCCAGCCAUGCCGCGUGAGUGAUGAAGGCCUUAGGGUUGUAAAGCUCUUUUAGCAGGGAAGAUAAUGACGGUACCUGCAGAAAAAGCCCCGGCUAACUUCGUGCCAGCAGCCGCGGUAAUACGAAGGGGGCUAGCGUUGCUCGGAAUUACUGGGCGUAAAGCGCACGUAGGCGGGAUAAAAAGUCAGUGGUGAAAUCCUACAGCUUAACUGUAGAACUGCCUUUGAUACUUUUAUUCUUGAGUUCGGGAGAGAGAGACGGAAUUCCAGGUGUAGUGGUGGAAUACGUAGAUAUCUGGAAGAACACCAGUUGCGAAGGCGGUCUCUUGGUCCGACACUGACGCUGAGGCGCGAAAGCGUGGGGAGCAAACA
rnacentral:rRNA from 1 species